rnacentral:lncRNA from 1 species
GGCGUGGUUGUGGGUGCCUGUAAUCCCAGCUACUUGGGAGGCUGAGACAGGAGAACCACUUGAAGCUGGGAGGCGGAGGUUUCCGUGAGCCCAGAUUGUACCACUGCACUCUUGCCUGGGCGACGGAGUGAGACCCUGUCUCAAAAUAAAAUAAAAUAAAAUAAAAUAAAAUAAAUAAAAUAUCCCUUGAAUCCUAGAAGCGGAGGUUGCAGUGAGCCAAGAUAGCGCCAUUGCACUCCAGUCUGGGCCUCACAGGGAGACUUUAUCUCAAUAACAACAACCAAAAAAAGUGUAACAUUUGUGAUAACGUCUGGGACUAAAGCAGGUACAGAGUGCAGAGCAGUAGUAGGACUCACACCCAUGACAAUAGAGACUAAAAAGCAAAAACGGAAAUGCUAUCCAUUUACAUGUAAAACGGCAAUGAUAGGAAUAAGAGGGGGUAUAAGAUACAAGUGCUGGAUAGAGGCUGAAGCAAAAUUAAAACUGAGAAAUUAUCAGUAAUUUGGCAAAUGGAAUUCACUUUAAAAUUGAUCUAUUAGCAAAAUAGCCUUUUGCAAACUGACCUGCUUCUCUUUUGAUAAUACCAUACUCUCUUCUCGUGAGACCAAGUUAGAUUGUUCUGAGCUUUACCAAGAAUACAUAACAAAUUAAUUGGGCAAUAAACUUUUAAAUAGCCAUGCACAUGAUCCUAUCUCUCAUUUUCCCUACCAGUUUCCCGUGUGUCUUGAGUAAGAGCCCAGGACUGCUUGAGUUUAAAUGUUCUGUCUGUUUAGGGGAGAAGAGAAAGAGAAGACAGGAGAGAGGAACUCCUUGCUUUUCCUACCUUCUGAAUGAAAUCAACUUACCAAUAGUUAGGUCUGCUAUCUUGCUUCAAACGACCCCCUUCUGACACCAGGAACCUCUUUAAAAGAAUACUGUGAUCUUUCAGUUAUAAAAUCAUAGAGGAACUAGUAAAAACGAAUGGAGGGUAUGCUAGUGAUCUGGGGCAACAUCACCCUUACAUUCUGUAGGCUAAAUUCCAACAUACUCGGAAUAAUAAUAUAAAGUCCUGAAUAAUAUCAUUGUAUUCUACCCAGCAAUAUGUUGGACGGAAGAAGGAAAGGGAAGGAGAGAGCCAGAGAGAAAAGGAAGAAGAGAGGGGAGGAUUUUGCGUUGAACUCUUGAUAUGGCCAACAUAGAGCCUACCAUUGUGGAGAUUACAAGAUACAAUUUUCCCACCUUUUCUCUCGCCGGCCUUUCCUAGUGAUACAGCUCCAGUGAGUGGAGGAACACCAGGGCUCUUGUUUCAUGUCGAAUUGUAUAAAACGACAUGGACACACGUGGAGUGGUUUUAAGGAGUGGAGAGUUUAAUAGGCAAGAAAGAAGGGAGAAGAAAGAAGGAAGAAGCUCCCCUGUACAGAGCCAGAGCGGGGCGGAGUCUCCAAAGCUGAGAGAGGGAACCCCCAGGGCGGCCGAUGCCAGCCAGUUAUAUGAAGAGGCUGGAGGAGGUGAUGUCUGAUUUGCAUAGGGCUCAGGGGAUUCGUUUGACCAGGCAUGUCAUUCAUGUAGCCCUCGAAAAAAACUGGCCCUCCCACCCUAGCCUUUUAAUAUGAAAAUGCAGGGUGCCAGGAUAUUCUAUACAUGUGGGGAGAUGUGGGGGUGGCCAUGUUGCCAGGCACAUGAGGGAGCAAAUGCAAGAAGAAGAGGGCGGAAUCGCCAUGUUUGGGUGGACCAGUUUCUAAUGGUCUGCAUUUGCAUGUCGAAGGUUGCCUGCCCACCUCUAAGAGCUGGGGCUUUCCUGAUAGACGAGAAACAUUUCUGGAGCUGCUUUAAAAGAAACAACUUUCCAAGGACCACUUUUCCUCUCUAUCUGCCUAAAAUUAUUUCUUAAUGUGUCCUAUAACACUAGAAACAAUCUCACCACUGCUCUCUGAACAAGCUGUACUUAGCCAGACCUUCUAACUGUUGAUUACCGUUCCUCCUACGUGUGUCUGACUCUCCAAGUUCCAACUACUUGUCAGGAUCGUUUGGUGUCUUUUUUUUCUGCCUUUCCAAACCACUCUAUUCUCUUUUCAUCUCUCCCUUCCAUGGAUGCACAGUCAGUUUAGGAAAGAAACUCAUCUGAACAUUGACCUCUUAGUUUGCAUAAAUAACUUUGAGUAACAAAUGAACAGGAUAUUAGGCCCCUCACAUACAAUGUCUUGCAUUUCUUUUUUUUUUCCCCUUCAACGUUUCUAGCAGCGCUGGAUCUAUUGCAAGUGCUCUGUAAAUGACUGAUUGAGGAACAUAUGGAUUAAUGAAUAAAUGAACCAGGGAAUGAAUGCACUGACAUGACAGUUUCAGACAUAGAUGGGGGAGCAUGAGGAAGAGCCAAGCAACAGAGCAAAGCAUCAGGUCCAAGCAAUUUCAGUGGGUUAGCCCUCACUCUUUCCCACAGAGCUCUCAGCUUCCUUUCAAGAUUGAAACUCCAUUGUUUUGAAAUAGUUAAGGCAAAGAAAGUGAGAGAGGACUUUUAAAAAAUGGAUGCUUUCAGAAACAUGGAUUCUUACACUAGCAGCCAUUUAUGGACAAUAAAAAGUCAGGAAGCAAACCUAAUAUAAGCUUUCUUUCCCAGAGCCCAAGGGAAACAUAGCCAUGGGACAUCUUUCUUCAAUGAAGUCUACAUUUACAGCAACCAAGCGCACACAACUCCAUUUCCUGUUUAUGUAAGACUUCUUGCUACUGGAUGCAGGGAAAAUAUAUCCCUCUUAUUGGCUUUCCCAUAAAGGUAUCUCCCACUCACCAAUGCCCUAUUCUUUUCAGGUAAGAUUCAUUCACGUGACAACUGAUUACCAAAAGACUGUAUUGGGGCAAACCUCAUGUUUUUUGUGUCUUGUCAUUCUAUAGGGAGGGAAAUGUCUCUUGCCUAAUACUUCACUUUGUUCCAUGCCCACUGUGUUCCAUAGUUUGGGAAAGCAUACUUUAAAUCCAGCGUGGGAUCUGUUUGAGUGAUCCCUGGAUUUGUAUUGGUUUUGUUUUCUGAAGCAGGUUUGUCUUAGUGGGUGCCCUUUAGAGAUCACUUUUGUUAUAAAAUGAACCAAGAUUAAUAGCCAGCUCCAUGUCAUGUGUUUGCAUGUCUUCAGCUGACGAAUUUCAAAUGACCUUCUUGUUCUGCCAAUACAUUGUGGAGAUACCAUCACUGAAAGCCGGCCCUUGCUACUGCUGACUCUGUCAUAUGGGGAAGGGGACAGUGUGUAAUUCUGCCUGUGGUAAUCUGCUUGUGGCAGUGAUUUUAUAGCCUGCAAACUUUUGCUUAUUGUACCCAGAUGUUGUAUGAUACUUUGCCAAAAAUACAUCUUUUAAAGAAUCUGUCUUAACUCUUUGUUUUGAGAUAAUUUUAUGCUUACAAUAUUUGUCUCAUCAUGUUCUCUCUCUGUCUCUGUAUGUAAACAUUUUUGAACCAUUUGAGAGUAAGUUGCAAAGAAAAUACGCCAUUACCUUAGUGUACAAUUCCUAAAAAUAAGGGUAUUUUCUUACAAAACCAGAGUACAAUUUUCAAAAUCAGAACAUUUAUGUAAGUGCAGUUCUAUUAUCUAAUACAUAGACUUUAGUCAAGUUUUGUAAUUUUUUACUGGCCCAGGAUCAAUCUGGUAUUCAUGUUGCCCUUGGUUUUCUUGUCUCAUUAUUC